rnacentral:rRNA from 1 species
GACGAACGCUGGCGGCGUGCUUAACACAUGCAAGUCGAACGGAAAGGCCCUGCUUUUGUGGGGUGCUCGAGUGGCGAACGGGUGAGUAACACGUGAGUAACCUGCCCUUGACUUUGGGAUAACUUCAGGAAACUGGGGCUAAUACCGGAUAGGAGCUCCUGCUGCAUGGUGGGGGUUGGAAAGUUUCGGCGGUUGGGGAUGGACUCGCGGCUUAUCAGCUUGUUGGUGGGGUAGUGGCUUACCAAGGCUUUGACGGGUAGCCGGCCUGAGAGGGUGACCGGCCACAUGGGAACUGAGAUACGGCCCAGACUCCUACGGGAGGCAGCAGUGGGGAAUAUGGCACAAAGGGCGGAAGCCUGAUGCAGCAACGCCGCGUGCGGGAUGACGGCCUUCGGGUUGUAAACCGCUUUCGCCUGUGACGAAGCGUGAGUGACGGUAAUGGGUAAAGAAGCACCGGCUAACUACGU